rnacentral:lncRNA from 1 species
AACAAUAAUGUAUUCUACAAAUUCUAUGAAGAAAAACUACAAAUAUUACUGUUAGGUCUAAUAUUCAUAAAUUUUGCUUUCUUCAAAAGCUUUUUUUUUUUUUUUAUCAAUGUCCACUUAAGAUAAGUUGACACCCUUCUUGCACAUUUUCAAAACAAAGCAGGUGAAACAUGUCAACUAGGUUAAUAAAAUUGCAGACUCUCUGAAGUGCUGUUGUCUAUUUUAAUCAUUAUCAAAAUAAGUCAAAGUUUGCAAAGAAGCUUUAAAGAAUAAGUUAAUAUU